ACCUGAGGUUGCAGGAAAAGUGAAGGAUAUGGAGCUGGGAGGUGGUAGGAAAGAGAAACACCUGCCUGAAGAGAAAAGCAAAGGAGACAUGGGGAAGGGUAUCGGGCAUAAACUCAGCCUCGCCUAGACCAGCAGUCCAGCUCACACAACAUCUAAGAGACUUUGCAGGACAGAGCAGGGUUCCUGGAUCAGCGACCUGGAAUGAGAGGUCAGAUUCCUGGAUCCAGCAGAGGCAGUGACAUCAGAGCAGUGAUGUCACUGACUCACCUCCAGUCAGAGGAAGGAGGCCCAGAACCCCAGCUCUCAGAGAAGCAGAGCUCUGAGCAAGGAGAGGCCUCCCCGCUCUGCCCAUCCUGCCAUGGGCUGCAGCCCCGUCUGCUGUGUGGCUCUGUGUCUCCUGGCAGCAGGCCUUGUGGAUUCUGGAGUCACCCAAACCCCGAGAUACCUGAUUAAAGCAAGAGGACAGCUAGGGACCCUGAGAUGCUCCCCGGUCUCUGGACACCUCUCCGUGUACUGGUACCAACAGGCCCCUGGCCAGGGCCAUGUGUUCCUCGUUCAGUAUUACAGGCAGGAUGUGAGUGGAGAAGCACAGCUUCCGGAUCGAUUCUCAGGAAAACAGUUUAGUGACUUUCACUCUGAGCUGAACUUGAGCUCCUUGGAGCUGAUGGACUCAGCCAUGUAUCUCUGUGCCAGCAGCCGAGACACAGCCCUACAUGAUCAGGUGCCUUUGGGACAAAAACACUCCUGCCCCAGCUCAGGAAGUGGCUGUGAGGGUGACUGCCUGCCUGUCAGGCCUAGAUAGAUCCCAUAGACUCUCCCAGACGGUCUUCCUCUGCUGUGUUUUAAUGCUCCCAAACAUCAUUCUAGGUAGUAUUAUUUUACCUGUUUAUACACGAGGGGAACUGACUUGCCCAGAUCUUGUAUGUCAUUACUUAUAGAGCAAGGAAUUUGACUCAAGUCAGUCCUCAUCACCUGUGGUUUUUGUCCCCAUAAAACUUUCCCCCACAAAGAAUAAAUAAUACACAUAAACACACACACAUUCAUAUACACAUACAUGUUUUAAAGCAAUUUUCUCACAUAGUUGUUAAGACUGGUAAGUCCAAAAGCUGCAAGUGGUUCUGGUGCUACUAGAGACUGAGGGGGAGCUGAUGUUUAACUUCAAAAGCAGAACAACAAUCGGUCCAGUGUGAAGGCCAUCGCUGACAAUUAUCUCUUACUUGGGGGAGGAUCAGUGUUUUCGUCUAGUCAACUCUUCACCUGGUUUCAUGAAGCCCACCUACAUUAUGGAGGGUCAUCUGCUUACGACAUAAAAUAUUAGUCUAAUCUAUUAUUAAAAUAUACCUAUUCACAUGUUAACUUUUCCAAAAACACCCCCUUAGGAGCAUCCAGAAAAAUAAAGCUAAAUACCCAUGGCAGAGUCAAGUUGAUAGUCAGUCCGCUCUGACUCUGUGCGACCCCAUGGACCGCAGCACUCCAGCCUCCC